rnacentral:lncRNA from 1 species
UUUAAAGGGGCACUAGCUGUCAAAUUCAUGGUCACCGAUUUUACUCAAAUUCUCAUAUUUGAUUUAUAACAAUGUAAAACAUUUAUCCAAACUAUCAAAAGUCUAAAAUAAACAGUUUACAGAGCAUGGGGUAGAUAAUAUAUAGGUUCGUUUCGUGUGCAUUUUAGUCCAGACGCCAUCUUAGGAGGCGGAGCCAAAUUAUCUCCAUGAAAAUGAGAUUUGCCAAUGCUUAUACAACUGCAUACCAAGUAUCAUUGACCUACCACUUGUGGUUCCCCAUAAACUGACCUAAUCACAAACUAAUACAUGUUAAAUAAGCAAAAGUUUCGAAGCCAAUAGACCAUUACUGAGGGGACAAGGCCAAAUAAUCUCCAUGGAAAUGAGAUGUGCCAAUGCUG